UAGUGGCGAACUUGUCUUAAGCCUUCCCGGGCGGGAACAGUGUCAGGGUGGCCAAUGCCACCGCUACUGCAGCACAGCGAGGGAAAGCAAAUGGAGGAGGGACCAGGAGAGGAGGAAGUAAGAGCGGGAAUCUAACUCGGCGACCAUUGAUGACGUUUCCUCAGACCGCAUCGCUGUUUCUGGUGCUUGGAUACCGAGCAUCUUGGGGUUGUUUUGGUCGGAGGAUAGCGGCGAAUUUGUAAGGAACUUGAGUUUCUGGGGGAUGUUGUUGCAGGCCGGAAUCCGGAUCCCGGACCCGGUUUACACCUCGAACCAUUUAACAGGAGCCGAGGGCACCUAAUUGCAGCCCAGGACUUAAUGGUGUUUGUGACCCUGCAUGGCCCCCUCAAGAUGCCUGUUGGAGACUUGUUCUUUGGGGGCGGACCUAAUGUCUGGAGCUGGUGGCCCAAGGAAAAAUCCAACUCUGCACUGGUAGCAUGGAAGAAGCAGCAGAGUCGCAGUGUCGGGAACAGCUCGUCCAGAAGCUGGUGCUGUCAGAGUGGCAAGGCGGCCCGCCGCUCGAUAGCUGAAGAUGCAGGCCUAUGAGGUUAGCAGGCCAAGGUACAAAAGUGGCAAGGCUGCCUCACAGACAAAGGGAUCCCCAAGGAAUCCAAUGGCCAGGUGAGGAAGCAGGCAUAGAUGCUGUAAGAAGCCACAGAGUUCUAUGACUCCGGGAACCAGAAUUCAUCUUGAUUGGAAAAUGAAAAAAAAAAGAUCAUCUUAAUUGUUUUUGAUGAAUGACUGUGGAUUGUGUGAUAAUUUUGACAAAUAUUACCUGAUUCUCUGCCAUUAUGUUUUAACAUCCAAGAAUACUCUAAGCAAACUCAAUCUUCCCUAUUCUCAGUUAAGAUGAAGGUGAACUAUUUCCACAUAGUAGUUUUUCUAUGUAACUGGAACAGAGAAGCAAAAAGUGCCAUGCACAAUUUUCUGUAUACUAUUUCAGUUCAAUGACAUAUUUUGAUUGGCUCGAUUAUUUUUUGCAUAUUCCCUUUAAAAGAUCUCAUUUUCUACUUCUUUAAAUAAAUAAAGCAAAUGAUUUGAGAAAAGUAAAAAAAAAAUUCUCACGAGUUUGCUUUAUCUCUUCACAUAGACAAUCUGUGGUAAUAAUCUGAACUGAUUUUGGUAAUUAACCAGUGCCACAGGAAGAUAUAUGUCAGUAUCAUGGGCAAUUCUUCAUAUGUUUAUUGGCUACAUGUAUGUAUUCCUUUAUUCAAGAAUUGUCUGUUGAGAGCUCUUCACUUGAAAACUGGGUCAUUUGUUAUCCUGUAACUGCAUUGUUUUUUUUUUCACUCUUGCUUUUUUCAGACAGGGUUUCUUUGUAUAACAGCCCUGGUGUCCUGGAACUCACAGAGACCCACCUGCCUCUGUCUCCCGAGUGCUGGGAUUAAAGGCGUGCGCCACCACCGCCCUGUGCAACUGGGUUCUUUAUAGAUUUUCUGCACCGGCCUCUUAGGUGAUGUGUGGCUUCCUCCUGACCCAGAUGUUGUCUUUUUAUCCUGCUUUGCUGCACUCCCAUUUCUCUCUGCGACUUCUUGGUCAGCUUAUUGGUUUUUUGGUUUUGUUUUUAUUAAAUCCUCCCCCUAAAAUAACAUCAUGCUUUUCUCCAACCAUUUUAGGUCUCUUUUUUCAGUUCCUGGUAUUUAUUUGACUGUACUAAAGUGGAAUUGUUUGUGAUGUCCUUGUGUAUGCUUGGAUGGUGGAACAAAGCUGGUCUUCUUAGAUGAAACAGAGGACUUUUCCUUCAGGUUUGCCUGUACCAGACAAGUUUAAGAUGAGCAAUUUUCCAUUUUCAAUUAAAAUCCCUUUCUGGGUUGUCAUUUACAGCGAGACUCGUUCCCAGUUAAGUCAUCAACAACAUGAAAUUUCUAAUUUCGGGUAAAUUAUAUAGGAAAAUAAAUUUGUGACAGACUAAUUGACAGAAAGGUUAAUUAUAAAAAGGAAGAAUGGAGAAGUGUGGUAGGCAGUGUUUUUCCUACCUACAGUAAACUCUCAGAAGAUAGAAUCAUUUUUUUUAACUCAGGGACACAGAAUCAGAAAUGCAAUUGCAGCUGAUAUUUAUUUGGCAUCUCCUUUCACAGAUUGGCCUUCACCAGUUUCCUAGAAGGAGGCAGCGCACAAUUACACCAGCCCCUGGAACCUUCCCACCAGGGGACAUUUUCAUUAAUUGUAGACUUCCAUCGGCUCCCUGCCAAAUCUCUCCCCAGACAGAUGGCGAAACAAAUGAAACUCAGCCCCAAACACACCGAUACACCAAAUACAAGCAAAGCAAAACAGCAACAACAGAAGAACAUAAACCAGAACAUCCAGACUGGCCUACGUACCUGUUCUGCCACUGUCUACAGAGCAGGAAAAUGCUAAGAUUGAAGCCAUGCUUCAAGAACUGAGAACCUCCCCGGAAAUGCCAGGUUGGGAGUGAAAAAGGCCUUGUAGAAGAGCGCUGGUAUUUGGCACUAGGAGAAGUAUGGAUAUUUUCCUCUUCAGUCCUUGGCCUAGUGCACACCUACUCCCAUAGACUGUGUGAGGAGAUAAAGCAAACUAGGGGCACGUUUUGACUUUGCAACGCUUUCUUCUGAAAGUAACUGUCAGGUAGAUAUCCCGUGCUGUCAGCAUCUAGUUUCUACAGCUUAUAAGGUUUUCAAGAGUGACCAGGAGAUUGGAGUAUUGGACUAAGGAAUGAAUACUUCCAUUCCUGUCUGACACUGCUUUGGGAGCCCUGUGGUGCUGUACCUGCUGUGACAUUAUCAGGUAGAAGAGAGAUGCGGUGCACAGGAUAGUUCUUCAGCUGUUGAGAUUCUAGUUCCCACACCACUGGUCCUCCCUGGAUUUGCCACCAGAGGGCUGGAUGUUUACAUCCUUUAGGAUGGGGAGAAAAAGCAAAACUAACAGUUUUGAGACAUUAGAUGUUCUAAUCAGAAAUAUAUUGUAAUUUAGCUAAAUUGCUAUGAAAAUAUGAGGCCCUGAAAGAUCAAUUUGUUGUUUUGUCUAUCAGUUUGAUUUAGCAAUGAUUUACUAGGCAUUGCUGGCAUUGUUUCAAGUAUGACUCCCCUAACUCCACAGCCUUGUGCAAUUUUUCAGGCACCUUCACGGUGACAUUCAUUUUAGAAUACUUUCUUCCACACCUCUAGAAGAUCAGGAAGUUGAAAAUGGCAGUACUGAUAGGAAACCUAAAAUCCAAUCAGAUAUGUGGCCCACGUUCAGACUUACUUGGUUGUGUUAUUUAAAUCACAAUCCAGACAAAGUUUAUACAUUGGAUUCACUUGAAGUGUGCCGUGUGAGACAUUUUAUGUACAGGGAAGCUCAGGAGCAGAAAAGAGCAUAUGGUCAGGAUUCAGGGAAAAUUCUCUGCUAAAUCAGUUAGUCCUGUUGGGGUUACAGAUUUUAGGAAGCCAUAGUCUUUGUCCUCAAGGAGUUCCGUCUUCUGUUCCUAUAACACUCUAUGAGUAUAUCCAUCACAAGCCUAUAACGCUCUAUGAGUAUAUCCAUCACAAGCCUUACAUUAUUAGUUUUUCUGCAUCUGCCUCAGUUAAAGGCGGGGAGCAUUUUGUCUUCAACAUUGCAUUUGUUAUACACAGUAUACUGGUACGCAGUAGGAAGCGGUGUCCUUUGUCUAACUUUGCAUUGGGAACCAAUGAGAUUUUUAUAGCAUGGCUAUGCCUUGAUAAGGUUUUCAUUGGAGGUAGAUAAAGGUUGCUAGUUGUUUUGGAAACAUGGACGAUUGGAAGCAGGGAGGAGUCUAUUGCAGAGUUCAUGCUAGAGAGGGUGAAGAUGAGAACUAGGGUGAAGAAGACAGUAGGUAUGAAGAAAAGACUAAUGGAGAGUUGCUGAGAAGGCAAGUUAGCACGAUUUGGGAACCUUUCCUAUGUGGAGAAUGAAGAGCUUCAGGCUUGGGGAACAGUGAUGCCCCUUGAAGAUUCAGAGCAAAAUGGGGAAGCUGUUUGAGGGAGGGGAGAUCGAUUCAGUUUUGACCAUGCUGAGGUUGAGGUGACUGCUAGGAAUUUGCCAUCUGUCAGGAUUUGGGAGAUCAAAAUGUAAGAGAGAAGUCGAGUUAAAACCAGAGAGUCCUAAGUACAUAGGUGGUGCUUAAAAUUAGAUGCCAUCCUUCACGGACAGAAUAUGUAGUGAAACAGGAAGGGAAACGUUAAGAAACUCUUACAGAUUUUAGCAAGUAAUUAAAAAAUGAUAAACUCUGGAGGAAGAUAGGAAAGGAAUAGCUACAGAGAUUAGAGGAAACCAAGACAGUGUGGUGUCAUUGCAGCCAAAGGAGGAGAGACUUCAGGAAGGCCUGACCAGGAGCACCUUAUACACAGCUAGGGGGUGAUGGUGAGGAAAAGUUCCAUGUGGCCGAGAUGUACAGUGUUUUGGCAGGAGGUGAGCCCAGAAAGACGAGUUAGGUCCUUGUACUGUCUGCUUUCGUGUGUCAACUUGACCUCAUCUAGAGUCAUCAAAGAGGAAGGUGCCUCAGUUGAGAAAAUGCCCCAGUGAGAUCCAGUUGUAAGGCAUUUUCUCAAUUAGUGAUCAAUAGGAGAGGGCUGAGCCUGUGGUAGGUGCUGGCAUUUCUGGACUGGGUUCUGUAAGAAAGCAGGCUGAGCAAGCCAUGUGAAUCAAGCCAAUAGACAGCACCCCUCCAUGACCUCUGCAUCAGCUCCUGCCUCUGGGUUCCUCUCCUGUUUGAGUUCCUGUCCUGGCUUCUUUCGAUUAUGAACAGAAAUAUAGAAGUCUAAGUCAAAUAAAACCUUUCAUCCCCAACUUGCUUUUUGGUCAUGGUAUUUUGUUUCAGCUGUAAACCCUAACUAAGACAGUCCUGGUCCUAAAGGAGCUUGGUUAUCAGGCCAGAGGACUCUGAACUUUUGUAAAUGAUGGAGAGUUAUCAAUAAUUUUCAGAUAAGAAGGACCUGUUCAGAGCAAGGGUUACAAAGAUCAAGCUGGGGUAGCAUAGGGACUCCUAUGGAGGAAUGGGACUGGAGACAGAAACCCAUCAAAAUGAAGUGAAGGGGCACUUAAGUUGUGGGGAACAGUACGGUCUUUGAAGAUCCUUAGCAGAUGAAAUUUGCAAGCCCUAAAAGCAGUAGGAACACUCUGAACCAUAGAGUAAGCAUUAUUAAUAACCAUGUGAGUUAUCUUGUUAAGUCCUCACAGCAAGCCUGAGAUAGAUAAGCAUCAUUAAUGUCAUUUCGUGCAUGAUAAAACAGGAACAUAGAGAUAAAGACAUUUGCUGGACAGAAUUGGUAAUUGGAAGAACCUAUUUUCCAAACUCUGGUGGUUUGACUAACCAUCACCUAACCCCCCCUCUCCCGCUCCCCUCCGUAGAUUAAACCUAUGGCUUUCCACAAGCACUCUACUACUAACCAUAUCUAAAUGAUCCCAUUACCUACCAAAGGCUGACCUCGAACCUAAGCAAGUCUUCAGCUUGCUCUCCUCCUGCCUCACCCCUCCAAGUAGCUGAAAUUACAGGCCUUUACUCCCAGGCCUGGCUCUAACAUCCAUUCUUAAGGAUUUCAUUGUUUUUUUUUUAAAUUAGAAAACAUGUGUUGUGGUACAUUGGCCCCUAAACACUACUGCGGUGGUACCCAGUGGUGUUGGCAUCAGCUGCCAGUGACAGUCAGAGUGGUGGUCACUCUUACCAGGGGUCUGCCAAGUGGGAAAGCACAAAGGGAACAUCUUCAGUCCUGGGUGUGUCCUGGGUGGUCAUUGGAGCUUACACAAAUAAAUGCCCAAAAUAUACAUGGAAGACAUGGAUUUAGUGCUACAGCACCCUGAAUAAGUAGCCCCUGAGGAGUGUUGCCACACUUCUGCUGUUGUUGACAACAGGUUUUUUUUCUGCUUUAGAUGUCAGCUAAUUGAACUUCUUUUAAAUAAUGUGGUUCUCUUCUCUGCUUUCACACGUGACAGCGUUUACAGCAGAACUUAACAGUGGAGUUGAUUGGUGACCCUUUUUUAAUUGA